UUGGGUGAAUUGCAAGAAAAUCCAUAAAUAAUAUAUGGACAACUUGCAGCGAAGUUUAUAACGAUCAAUUUAUAUAUUCUAUAUAAAGUUAUAAAAACGUUCAACGACUAGAAGAUGAGUAAGAUCAACAAUAAUUCUUCCACGAGCGCCCAA
rnacentral:ribozyme from 1 species